rnacentral:sRNA from 1 species
AAGACUGCCACUCGAGGCCGGUCGGUAGAGUUGGGGUUUCACCAUGUUGGCCAGGCUGGUCUCGAACUCUGGACCUCAGGUAAUCUGCCUGCCUUGGCCUCCCAAAGUGCUGGGAUUACAGGCGUGAGCCACUGCACCCAGCCAAGUCCCCCUGUUCAUAAUUACUUUGUGAUCUCAGCCGUGCUCACCCUCUCUGGGGCUCAGUUUCUCCUGUGAAAUGGAAACUGACCUCAGUGUUGAAGCACUUGCCAUUCUGAGGUGCCUGGACAGGGUCAGCCAGCAGCCGGCCCGGGGCGUCGGCCACCCCACCCAAGUCCCCGGUCUACCUGGACCUGGCCUACCUGCCCAGCGGGAGCAGCGCCCACCUGGUGGAUGAGGAGUUCUUCCAGCGCGUGCGCGCGCUCUGCUACGUCAUCAGUGGCCAGGACCAGCGCAAGGAGGAGGGCAUGCGGGCCGUCCUGGACGCGCUACUGGCCAGCAAGCAGCAUUGGGACCGUGACCUGCAGGUGACCCUGAUCCCCACUUUCGACUCGGUGGCCAUGCAUACGUGGUACGCAGAGACGCACGCCCGGCACCAGGCGCUG